CAGAGUCUCUCUUGCCUCUUCAAACAGCUCACCAACCUCGUAAAUUUUCAAAAUCUGAACAAAAGCCAGUCACAUAUUAUUUCUACGCAUCAGCAUUCACUUCCAAAAAUAAGAUUCAAAAAUAGUAUACUUUCGUAACUCAACAAACUCAUCAUUCAUCUUCACUGCUUCUGUAGAUAUUAUACACAAAACAAGACAUAAAAAAUAAACUCACAAAGUAUAAAUAGAACGUUACACUACCAAAACACCAACGUUCCACCUCAUAUACUGCACAUACUAAAACAUUGCUAGUCAAACUACAAAUAGUAGCAUUGUAUUACCUUAAGGAAGUGAGAUACUUAGAUAUGCAUAUCACCACACAUAUUCUCCACAACAUCCUUUAAAUCCAAAAGCUGACAACACACAUUUGUAAUU
rnacentral:lncRNA from 1 species